GUGCAAAUCUUCAUGUAUUGGAACUGCCUGUGUAUUGUUUUUACGAUUGGAGACUUGGCCAAGAAAAGAUGAGUUCCGGGAACGCGUCCUAUCGCUGCUCUAUGUCUUCCUCUGCGGAUUUUUCCGAUGAGGAUGAUUUCAGCCAGAAAUCUGGCUCCGCAUCCCCAGCUCCGGGAGACACCUUACCCUGGAAUUUGCCUAAACAUGAGAGAUCGAAAAGAAAGAUUCAAGGGGGCUCAGUGCUGGACCCUGCCGAGAGGGCAGUGCUUCGGAUAGCAGGUAAGAGCAUCUGGGGAAGGGGAUGGAGUGGGGGAAGAGAGUUGCGGAAAUUCGCCCAUCUACCUCCUGGGGGGCCAUAGCGGGAGCUGAUGCACUGGGCAGGAAUCUGUGCUCAAGGUGGGGGAGGAUGAUGACCAUGUUUACUUUAUGCCUUGUUUUACCAAUAGAGCCAUUUGCCCUGCCUGCUGGUGACUAAGCUGUUUGGCCCUGCCUUCUGGUUGGAUGAAUCGAUUCCUUUGAAAUGCAAGGAAAUAUUUACAGACAUUUGCACUAAACUUUCCUAUUUACUGCAUUAGUU
rnacentral:sRNA from 1 species